GUCCUUUUGGAUUUUUAUUUAAGGUCUAGUCUGCCCACUGAAUUUAUAUUUUAAAUGGCCGCAGUAUUUUGACUGUGCAAAGGUAGCAUAAUCAUUAGUUUUUUAAUUAAAAGCUUGUAUGAAAGGCUGGACGAGGUAAAAUCUGUCUCUAUUUAAAUUAUAAUAGAAUUUAACUUUUAAGUUAAAAGGCUUAAAUAUUAUUAAAAGACGAGAAGACCCUAUAGAUCUUUAUAAUUUAUUAAAUGAAAUUAAUUUAGAAGUAUUUAUGUUUUAUUUAAUUAAAUUAUUUUAUUGGGGUAAUAAAAAGAUUGUAUUAAUUCUUUUUUACAAUAAACAUUAAUUUAUGAAUAUUAAUGAUCCAGUUUUACUGAUUAUAAGAUUAAGUUACCUUAGGGAUAACAGCGUAAUUUUUUUAGAGAGUUCAUAUCGAUAAAAAAGUUUGCGACCUCGAUGUUGGAUUAAAGAUUAUUUUAGGUGCAGAAGCUUAAUAAUUUUGGUCUGUUCGACCAUUAAAUCUUUAC
rnacentral:rRNA from 1 species